AUUGAACGCUGGCGGCAUGCCUUACACAUGCAAGUCGAACGGUAACGCGGGGCAACCUGGCGACGAGUGGCGAACGGGUGAGUAAUGCAUCGGAACGUGCCCAGUAGUGGGGGAUAGCCCGGCGAAAGCCGGAUUAAUACCGCAUACGACCUACGGGUGAAAGCGGGGGACCGUAGGGCCUCGCGCUAUUGGAGCGGCCGAUGUCAGAUUAGGUUGUUGGUGGGGUAAAAGCCUACCAAGCCGACGAUCUGUAGCUGGUCUGAGAGGACGACCAGCCAACCUGGGACUGAGACACGGCCCAGACUCCUACGGGAGGCAGCAGUGGGGAAUUUUGGACAAUGGGGGCAACCCUGAUCCAGCCAUGCCGCGUGCGGGAAGAAGGCCUUCGGGUUGUAAACCGCUUUUGUCAGGGAAGAAACGCUCUGGGCUAAUACCCCGGGGUAAUGACGGUACCUGAAGAAUAAGCACCGGCUAACUACGUGCCAGCAGCCGCCGUAACAC
rnacentral:rRNA from 1 species